rnacentral:rRNA from 1 species
UUUUUAUGGAGAGUUUGAUCCUGGCUCAGGAUGAACGCUGGCGGCGUGCCUAAUACAUGCAAGUCGAGCGAACAGACGAGGAGCUUGCUCCUCUGACGUUAGCGGCGGACGGGUGAGUAACACGUGGAUAACCUACCUAUAAGACUGGGAUAACUUCGGAACCGGAGCUAAUACCGGAUAAUAUAUUGAACGCAUGGUUCAAUAGUG